UACGUAGGGUGCGAGCGUUGUCCGGAAUUACUGGGCGUAAAGAGCUCGUAGGCGGUUUGUCGCGUCGUCUGUGAAAUUCUGCAACUCAAUUGUAGGCGUGCAGGCGAUACGGGCAGACUUGAGUACUACAGGGGAGACUGGAAUUCCUGGUGUAGCGGUGAAAUGCGCAGAUAUCAGGAGGAACACCGGUGGCGAAGGCGGGUCUCUGGGUAGUAACUGACGCUGAGGAGCGAAAGCGUGGGUAGCGAACAGG
rnacentral:rRNA from 2 species